UAAUCCUAGCACUUUGGGAGGCAGAGGCAGGCAGAUCACCUGAGGUCAGGAGUUCGAGACCAGCCUGGCCAACAUGGUGAAAUCCCAUCUCUACUAAAAUUACAAAAAUUAGCCAGGCAUGAUGGCAGAUGCCUGGUAAUCCCAGCUACUCAGGAGGCUGAGGCAGGAGAACAGCUUGAAUCCAGGAGGCAGAGGUUGCAGUGAGCUGAGAUCGUGCCACUGCACUCCAGCCUGGGCAACAAGAGCGAGACUCCAUCUCAAAAAAAAAAAAAGAACAGAAAGAGAAUCAAAUCACAACAUCAAUUCAUUCAUUCAUUCCACCAACAUUUAUUAAGCAUUAGGCUCCAAAGCAGAUGUUUACCAGUUUUGCACAACUUUGUCAUGGACCAGCUGGCCUUGUGGCUCAGUGGCAUCUGGAGGCAGGAGGGCCAAGUAGACAGGGGUCUCAGCCCCCUCCUCCACAGUCCUGAUGUUGUCUUUCCCAUCCAUGUCUGUCUUCACUGGUCCAGGGCAGCACGCAUUCACCAGAAUCCUGUCAGCUUUCCUCUUCUCAUCCAGACGCCUGGCCAGGAUCCUUGAUAAGACCGUGACCCCCAACUUAGACACCCCAUAAGGAAAACUAGACAAUCCACCAGCCCAGGAGGGGACAAGCAGGCUUAAUCCCCCUCCUCGUCAUCUCUGGCUCCAGCCCCACCCUGGCCCUUCCUGGCAUUCUUCCUCUUCACGUGGCUGGGGUGGCCACCCCAAUAGGGAGGCAGAGGGAGAAGUCCAUGUGCUUCUGGGAAUCCAGGCGGACAGUGAAGAACAGGAUAUUUACCACCUGCUCACGGAUAUGAUACUGUUGGAUCAGCACACGAGCGUGGCGGAUGGACUUAAGCCAAGC
rnacentral:antisense_RNA from 1 species